rnacentral:tRNA from 1 species
AUUUAUAUAGUUUAUAAAAACAUUACAUUUUCACUGUAAAAAUAAAGAUUUGACUUUUAUAAAUA